CUAGCUACAGGCUUAACACAUGCAAGUCGAGGGGCAGCAUGUUGGUUGCUUGCAACCAAUGAUGGCGACCGGCGCACGGGUGAGUAACGCGUAUCCAACCUUCCCCUUACUCAGGAAUAGCCCGUUGAAAGACGGAUUAAUGCCUGAUGUUCUCAUGUUGCCGCAUGGCGAUUUGAGCAAAGAUUCAUCGGUAAGGGAUGGGGAUGCGUAUGAUUAGCUUGUUGGCGGGGUAACGGCCCACCAAGGCUACGAUCAUUAGGGGUUCUGAGAGGAAGGUCCCCCACACUGGAACUGAGACACGGUCCAGACUCCUACGGGAGGCAGCAGUGAGGAAUAUUGGUCAAUGGAGGCAACUCUGAACCAGCCAAGUAGCGUGCAGGACGACGGCCCUAUGGGUUGUAAACUGCUUUUGCGAGGGAGCAAUAAGGCGCACGUGUGCGCCGAUGAGAGUACCUCGCGAAUAAGCAUCGGCUAACUCCGUG
rnacentral:rRNA from 1 species